rnacentral:rRNA from 1 species
GACGAACGCUGGCGGCACGCCUAACACAUGCAAGUCGAACGGACUUAACAGACCUUGCUUUUUUUAGUGAGUGGCGGACGGGUGAGUAACACGUGAGCAACCUGCCUCUGAGUGUGGGAUAGCUUCUGGAAACGGAUGGUAAUACCCCAUAAAAUAUAAAUAUCGCAUGAUAGAUAUAUCAAGGAAGUUCGCUCAGAGAUGGGCUCGCGUCUGAUUAGAUAGUUGGUGAGGUAACGGCUCACCAAGUCGUCGAUCAGUAGCCGGGCUGAGAGGUUGAACGGCGACAUCGGGGGUGAGACACAGCCCAGACUCCUACGGAAGGGAGCAGAGGGGAAUAUAGCACAAUGGAGGGAACUCUGAUGCAGCGAUGCCGGGUAGGGGAAGAAGGUGGUCGGAAAGUGAACUCCUUUUAUCAGGGGCGAUAAUGACGGUACCUGAAGAAAAAGCACCGGCUAACUACGUG